AGCUGCUGCCGCAGGGCAGAAUGCCUGGCUUGGCUGCAGCCACUGGGACACGUGGCCCUGCUUCUGUGAUGCUAGGAGUGCGAGCGGGCUCAGGGGUUGCCAGGCAGCUGCUGCCUGCACACAGAGGGCGACGGCAGCUUGGGCGCCCAGAUGGCGGAGCAUGGUUUGGGUGGCCUCUGGAAUGCGUGCGCGCCAGGCCUGAGGGUCACC
rnacentral:lncRNA from 1 species